rnacentral:rRNA from 1 species
AGCAGCCGCGGUAAUUCCAGCUCCAAUAGCGUAUAUUAAAGUUGUUGCAGUUAAAAAGCUCGUAGUUGAAUUUCGGGAUCAAUGUUUCGGUCAUGCCGUUGGUAUGUACUGAUAUUAUUGAUUUCUCACCUUCUAAAGAACCGUAAUGCCAUUAAUUUGGUGUCACGGGGAAUUAGGACUGUUACCUUGAAAAAAUUAGAGUGUUUAAAGCAGGCUCACGCUUGAAUACAUUAGCAUGGAAUAAUGAAAUAGGACAUCCGACUCUAUUUUGUUGGUUUCUAGGAUCGACGUAAUGAUUAAUAGGGAUAGUUGGGGGCAUUAGUAUUCAAUUGUCAGAGGUGAAAUUCUUGGAUUUAUUGAAGACUAACUCUGCGAAAGCAUUUGCCAAGGAUGUUUUCAUUAAUCAAGAACGAAAGUUAGGGAUCGAAGACGAUCAGAUACCGUGUACGUCUUAACCAUAAACUAUCGCCGACGUAGGGAUCGGGAUGAUAGUUUAAUUUUUAUAGUACUNAUUCGGCUA